GAACGCUAGCGGCAGGCCUAAUACAUGCAAGUCGAACGGUGUCUUCGGACAUAGUGGCGCACGGGUGCGUAACACGUAUGCAACCUACCUUACAGUUGGGGGAUAGCCUUUCGAAAGGGAGAUUAAUACCGCAUAAGACAGUAGCUGGGCAUCCAGCAGCUGUUAAAGAUUUAUCGAUGUAAGAUGGGCAUGCGUCCAAUUAGUUAGUUGGCGAGGUAACGGCUCACCAAGACUUUGAUUGGUAGGGGAACUGAGAGGUCAAUCCCCCACACUGGCACUGAGAUACGGGCCAGACUCCUACGGGAGGCAGCAGUAGGGAAUAUUGGGCAAUGGACGCAAGUCUGACCCAGCCAUGCCGCGUGCAGGAUGAAGGCGUUAUGCGUUGUAAACUGCUUUUAUACAGGAAGAAACGACUCUUGCGAGAGGCAUUGACGGUACUGUAUGAAUAAGCACCGGCUAACUCCGUG
rnacentral:rRNA from 1 species